AAUAGCCAUAUCAGAUGAAUUCCAAUAGUUUUGUGUGAUUGAAUGCUCAGGAUGCAAACAGAAGAAGCGCACAAAGGAUAGAAAGGAUUUUGAAUGUCCAAAAUGCAAUCGGAAAACAACAUUAGUGCCUCGGUGUAUCUUUCAAAUUGAUCUUAUUGAUGGUACUGCUACAACCACAACAUCUAUCUCUGGUGAAUUGGGAGAAAAAUUACUCUCCAUGACAGC